AAAUUGAAGAGUUUGAUCAUGGCUCAGAUUGAACGCUGGCGGCAGGCCUAACACAUGCAAGUCGAACGGUAACAGGAAGCAGCUUGCUGCUUCGCUGACGAGUGGCGGACGGGUGAGUAAUGUCUGGGAAACUGCCUGAUGGAGGGGGGUAACUACUGGAAACGGUAGCUAAUACCGCAUAAUGUCGCAAGACCAAAGAGGGGGACCUUCGGGCCUCUUGCCAUCGGAUGUGCCCAGAUGGGAUUAGCUUGUUGGUGGGGUAACGGCUCACCAAGGCGACGAUCCCUAGCUGGUCUGAGAGGAUGACCAGCCACACUGGAACUGAGACA
rnacentral:rRNA from 1 species